rnacentral:rRNA from 1 species
AACGAACGCUAGCGGUGUGGAUUAGGCAUGCAAGUCGUGCGCGAAAGUCUUCGGACGAGUAAAGCGGCGAAAGGGUGAGUAACACGUAACCAACGUACCCUCCAGAUUGGAAUAACCACCGGAAACGGUGGGUAAUGCCAAAUGGUCCUCUGCUGGGCAUCCAGCGGAAGGUAAACGGCGGCUCUGCUGCUGCUGGGGGAGCGGGUUGCGGCCUAUCAGCUUGUUGGUGGGGUAACGGCCUACCAAGGCUAUGACGGGUAGCGGGUCUGAGAGGAUGAUCCGUCACACUGGGACUGAGACACUGCCCAGACUCCUACGGGAGGCUGCAGUCGAGAAUCUUCCACAAUGGGCGAAAGCCUGAUGGAGCGACACCGCGUGCAGGAUGAAGGCCCUAGGGUUGUAAACUGCUGUCACGCAAUAGGAACCCACGGUGGUGAAUAGUCAUCGUGCUGACUAAAGCGAGAGGAAGCGCCGGCUAACUUCG